rnacentral:rRNA from 1 species
UGCUGUGAGCUCGAUGAGUAGGGCGGGACACGUGGUAUCCUGUCUGAAUAUGGGGGGACCAUCCUCCAAGGCUAAAUACUCCUGACUGACCGAUAGUGAACCAGUACCGUGAGGGAAAGGCGAAAAGAACCCCGGCGAGGGGAGUGAAAAAGAACCUGAAACCGUGUACGUACAAGCAGUGGGAGCACCCUUUGGGGUGUGACUGCGUACCUUUUGUAUAAUGGGUCAGCGACUUAUAUUCUGUAGCAAGGUUAACCGAAUAGGGGAGCCGGAGGGAAACCGAGUCUUAAUUGGGCGUUAAGUUGCAGGGUAUAGACCCGAAACCCGGUGAUCUAGCCAUGGGCAGGUUGAAGGUUGGGUAACACUAACUGGAGGACCGAACCGACUAAUGUUGAAAAAUUAGCGGAUGACCUGUGGCUGGGGGUGAAAGGCCAAUCAAACCGGGAGAUAGCUGGUUCUCCCCGAAAGCUAUUUAGGUAGCGCCUCGUGAAUUCAUCUCCGGGGGUAGAGCACUGUUUCGGCUAGGGGGCCAUCCCGGCUUACCAACCCGAUGCAAACUGCGAAUACCGGAGAAUGUUAUCACGGGAGACACACGGCGGGUGCUAACGUCCGUCGUGAAGAGGGAAACAACCCAGACCGCCAGCUAAGGUCCCAAAGUCAUGGUUAAGUGGGAAACGAUGUGGGAAGGCCCAGACAGCCAGGAUGUUGGCUUAGAAGCAGCCAUCAUUUAAAGAAAGCGUAAUAGCUCACUGGUCGAGUCGGCCUGCGCGGAAGAUGUAACGGGGCUAAACCAUGCACCGAAGCUGCGGCAGCGACGCUGAUGCGUUGUUGGGUAGGGGAGCGUUCUGUAAGCCUGUGAAGGUGGCCUGUGAGGGUUGCUGGAGGUAUCAGAAGUGCGAAUGCUGACAUAAGUAACGAUAAAGCGGGUGAAAAGCCCGCUCGCCGGAAGACCAAGGGUUCCUGUCCAACGUUAAUCGGGGCAGGGUGAGUCGACCCCUAAGGCGAGGCCGAAAGGCGUAGUCGAUGGGAAACGGGUUAAUAUUCCCGUACUUGGUGUUACUGCGAAGGGGGGACGGAGAAGGCUAUGUUGGCCGGGCGACGGUU